AGUGUCUUAUACUGUGUUACCAGUGCAAGGUGAGCCUAGUGUGCUCUCAAUACCUAUGGUUUAUAUAGUGUCUUAUACUGUGUUACCAGUGCAAGGUGAGCCUAGUGUGCUCUCAAUACCUAUGGUUUAUAUAGUGUCUUAUACUGUGUUACCAGUGCAAGGUGAGCCUAGUGUGCUCUCAAUACCUAUGGUUUAUAUAGUGUCUUAUACUGUGUUACCAGUGCAAGGUGAGCCUAGUGUGCUCUCAAUACCUAUGGUUUAUAUAGUGUCUUAUACUGUGUUACCAGUGCAAGGUGAGCCGAGUGUGCUCUCAAUA